ACGGCACUAGCAAGCUGAGCAAGGCGCUAGGGCGUGAUCGAGUAGAGACUGGCCCGGAGGCACUGGCAGAGGCGCUGAGAGAGGGCUGGUGUAAGGCCUAAGUGAUGUGCGCUAGGGCGUGAGAGAGCGGCCCUGAGGCGCUGAGAGAGGCGCUGAGAAGAGGCGCUGGCUGAGGCACUUACAGAUGCGCUGAGAGGAAGCACCGAGCAGAGACUGCACUAGGGUGCUGAGAAAGGCACCAAGGGCUGGCCGAGCAGAGGUGAGCGCUGGGCACCCUGUAGGGCUGAGGGCUGCAGGCAGAGGUGCAGUGCUGGGGCGCUGGUGGACUGGACAGAGGUAUUGUCCAGAGGCAAGCAGGAAUGCUGAGUGCUGGGCUGUGAGAGGGCUCCAUAGCAGAGGGAGAGAGCCGUUAGGACUCUGGCCGAGGAGGCUUGAUCGAGGCUGAGACGAUGAGGGCUGGCUUGAGGCACUGGAAUGCUGAGUGAGGUGCUGGUGUGAGAGAGCGACCCUGAGAGAGUGGUGCAAGGCACAAGCACAGAGGCGCUGGCAGAGGCGCUGAGAGAGGAGAGACUGCGAUCAGAGGCCGUGAACAAGGCGCUAGGGCGUGCGAGGCCCCGCAGAGACUCACCAGAGGUGAGUGCCGGGCGUAGAGGCACGAGGCCCCGAGGGCUGGCCGAGCAGAGACUCCACUGGAGCACUGAGUGAGGCGCUGGUGUGAGAAGGUGCUGGCAGAGGCGCUGAGAGGAGGCAUUGAGCAGAGACAGAUUUCUGUCGUGGAUAUGACAGAGUGCUUGGAUGCAGAGGGAGAGUGAUCUCAGAUUCAUGUCAUAAGAUCGAGAGGGAGUGUUGAGGUAUACACUCUCUAUGACAUGAUCCUAGGUGGCAGGAGUGCCACUUCAUUGAUCCAG
rnacentral:lncRNA from 1 species